UACGUAGGUGACAAGCGUUGUCCGGAUUUACUGGGCGUAAAGAGCGCGCAGGCGGUCGAUCAAGUCGAGUGUGAAAGCCCCCGGCUCAACUGGGGAGGGUCAUUCGAAACUAGUCGACUCGAAGGCAGGAGAGGGUAGUGGAAUUCCCGGUGUAGUGGUGAAAUGCGUAGAUAUCGGGAGGAACACCAGUGGCGAAGGCGACUACCUGGCCUGUUCUUGACGCUGAGGCGCGAAAGCUAGGGGAGCGAACGGG
rnacentral:rRNA from 1 species